rnacentral:lncRNA from 1 species
GAGGACGCACGCGGCCAGCCGGGAGGCGCGCGCUUUCCCCUCCCCCGCGGCCCGGAGCGCGAGCCGCCGUGACGUCAGGGGCCGCCCGCCUGCCCCGCGCUCCAGCGGGCAGAGCGCGUGCGGCCGCCGAGCACAUGGGCCCGCGGCCCGGGCGGACUCGGGGCGGCGGGGCCCGGGGGAACGGCGAGGGGCCGCGAGCGAGGAUGAGUCCCGGCACGCCCCCGCCCCGGACCCCCUCGAGUGGAUUUCCACGCGGAAAGGAUGUUGGCGGUCCCGGUGACCUGCGGAGACACGGUUGGAGCCACCUUUCACGAUACUCAGCCGCCUGCGUGGGGACUGAUGCUGGUGGAAGCAGGCUCUCAGGGACACACACCGGCCACAUUUCUGGAUGCUCAUGGUGGUUUUAG